UGCACAGUCGUAGGCUAGUUAGCUAGCUAGUUUGCUGAAUAAGCCAUUUUUUGGUUUUAGGGAAGAGCACAUUUUCUCAGUAGUAGCUUGGAAAACAGCGCAGACUAUUAGGAGUGCUGCAGUUUGAUGUAACUGCCAUGUAGUAACCUCACCAAAAUUCCAUAAGCUGGGUGUUUGAAAAAAGGGUAAAUUAACACACACAGAUCCAGGCAAAGAUGGAAAUGUCAACACAGCAAUUGGUUUCUUACCUGUAUGAAAGGCUCCAUAUCAAGCUGUCUGAUGACAGCUUCCAAGACAUGUGGAACAUUGCUGGCUUCGUUGUCCUAUUCCUCUUCUGCUGCCUGAUCCUUACCUUGUUCAUGACUGCCUUAUUUAUCUCUUGCUUCGGACGGUGCUUUGAGAAACGACUAGACAAAAGGAACAAAGUGGCACCUUUAGAACCCACACCCUCAGCUCCAACAAUUGUGUACAUGGAUGGGCAAGAACCUGUGAAUAAGGCAGACGGUCAGAAAACAGAGGGGGCCCCUUCACGACCUGCAAAGAAUGCUGAGAAACACAAAAAAAAAAGGCAUAAAGACAAAAAGGCCACUAAAAAUGUUAAGUCUCAGACCCCAAGUAAGAAACGACAAAGUACAGCAAAAGUGGUUAAAAAGUAGGUUCAUUUUAGCUUUACACCUGCUAGUCCUGUCACCAUGUUUCCUAUUCAAAUAAAGCACAAUCAUAAUAUUAAAUCAUA